UGAGGAAUAUUGGUCAAUGGGCGAGAGCCUGAACCAGCCAAGUCGCGUGAAGGAUGAAGGUUCUAUGGAUUGUAAACUUCUUUUAUUCGAGGGUAAAGUGAGGUACGUGUACCUUAUUGCAAGUAUCGAAUGAAUAAGCAUCGGCUAACUCCGUGCCAGCAGCCGCGGUAAUACGGAGGAUGCGAGCGUUAUCCGGAUUUAUUGGGUUUAAAGGGUGCGUAGGCGGAUUAUUAAGUCAGCGGUGAAAGCGUGUGGCUCAACCAUACAGUUGCCGUUGAUACUGGUAGUCUUGAGUGUAAACGAGGUAGGCGGAAUGUGAUGUGUAGCGGUG
rnacentral:rRNA from 1 species